GACGAACGCUGGCGGCGUGCUUAACACAUGCAAGUCGAACGGAAAGGCCCUGCUUUUGUGGGGUGCUCGAGUGGCGAACGGGUGAGUAACACGUGAGUAACCUGCCCUUGACUUUGGGAUAACUUCAGGAAACUGGGGCUAAUACCGGAUAGGGGCUCCUGCUGCAUGGUGGGGGUUGGAAAGUUUCGGCGGUUGGGGAUGGACUCGCGGCUUAUCAGCUUGUUGGUGGGGUAGUGGCUUACCAAGGCUUUGACGGGUAGCCGGCCUGAGAGGGUGACCGGCGACAUGGGGACUGAGGUACGGCCCAGACGCCUACGGGAGGCAGCAGUGGGGAAUAUUGCACAAUGGGCGGAAGCCUGAUGCAGCAACGCCGCGUGCGGGAUGACGGCCUUCGGGUUGUAAACCGCUUUCGCCUGUGACGAAGAGUGAGUGACGGUAAUGGGUAAAGAAGCACCGGCUAACUACGUG
rnacentral:rRNA from 1 species